rnacentral:rRNA from 1 species
AUGAACGCUGGCGGCGUGCCUAAUACAUGCCAGUCGAGCGAACGGACGAGAAGCUUGCUUCUCUGAUGUUAGCGGCGGACGGGUGAGUAACACGUGGAUAACCUACCUAUAAGACUGGGAUAACUUCGGGAAACCGUAGCUAAUACCGGAUAAUAUUUUGAACCGCAUGGUUCAAAAGUGAAAGACGGUCUUGCUGUCACUUAUAGAUGGAUCCGCGCUGCAUUAGCUAGUUGGUAAGGUAACGGCUUACCAAGGCAACGAUGCAUAGCCGACCUGAGAGGGUGAUCGGCCACACUGGAACUGAGACACGGUCCAGACUCCUACGGGAGGCAGCAGUAGGGAAUCUUCCGCAAUGGGCGAAAGCCUGACGGAGCAACGCCGCGUGAGUGAUGAAGGUCUUCGGAUCGUAAAACUCUGUUAUUAGGGAAGAACAUAUGUGUAGGUAACUGUGCACAUCUUGACGGUACCUAAUCAGAAAGCCACGGCUAACUACGUG